rnacentral:rRNA from 1 species
AUGUGCUCUCUUCCUAUAAAGAAGACUACUGCACCGUGUAGUAGCAAGCAGAACAAAUCAAAGUUAGCUAAUGCUAAGACUAUUGGCAAGAAGAGACAUAUAGAACCACUGAACCACAUUAUACAGCAGGCAGAAGGACAGACCUCUGAUAGCCGUAGUCUUGGAACCCAUGUCGACUUUGAGCAUCAAAGUAAGGCUAAUGAGAGGCCUGGCAACACCUCGACUCUUAAGGAGAGGGAACAGGUUACAUCUCCGAAUAAGCUGGCUGAUCUAAAACAGAAAAAUGUAUGCACUAAUGAGGAAACCCAGAAGGAGCAGAUUGAAGUUAAUGUUUCCAAGCAGACUAGUGGUUGGACUCAGAAGAAGAAUAGGAAAGGCUCAAUAGCUUCAUCAAAUGCAGGGCUUCUGCUUAGACGUAGUAAACGUCUGGCCAAAGAUUCAGCUGGUGCUAUAGAAAAUGAACCUCUAGAAAGUGAUCCUGGUGACCUGCAGGAUUUUGGUCCUAAUGUCCAAGUGCCAGCAGAUGCUAUGGAUGACGAAUCAGUUGAAUGGGAGCCUCUUCAGCAGUGUCCUGCCUCUCCAGAUUGUGAAGUGUCAGUUGCCAUGACAGACACUGAAUCUGUAGAAAGUGAGAACGAUGAUGCUGUAUCUCCAGAUGAAAGCAUGUCUGAUUCUGACUAUCCAGACACUGAUAGAAUGAGCGCUGGUCUUUACCCUAGCACACCGUCUGCGCAUAAGUUGCCUCAAGAAAUCUCUGAUGAACUAGAUGACCUCUAG